CAGACGCCGUCGUUGUUAAUGUUCGUUGCCGUAGGUCUUUGAUCGACAGUCUUCUUUUUUUCCAUUUUUCUCGGUAUUUUAUUGGUGUGAAAAAUUUACGAUAAUUUCUGAAAAAUCCAAUUGAAAAUUAUAAAAAUGUGUUUUCUCAUAAGGCAAUUAACUUUACUUAGCCAUAAUAGCUAAAUUAAAUAAAUAAUUGCUAAAAAAAACAAGCAAAAAACGCGUUUAAACUUCGCGACAAACAAUCAAACGCAAUAGUAAAUUGAAAGACAGAGCCCCCAAAGAAAAAAUAAAAUAAAAAAAAAACGCAAAAACAACAUACAAAGAAAGACAGCAAGAAAAACAAAUAGUAAAAAAAUUGUAAAAAGAAAAAUUAAAUUUGUGUGUAUUUUUUUACAAAGAAAUUUUAUAACAGAAAGAAAAUAUACUACAAUAGUUAUUUAAUUAAAGAUUAGGUGGUCAAGAAUUCUUUAACAUCAAAUAAUUCCAAUUUACUAUAAUUGCUGUUUAAACACUUAAACAAAAUUCAUGGGCAUACAAAUGCAACUUGUAAAUAAUAUAUUUAUAAUCAAACAUCGUCAUCAGCAGAAGCAUCAGCAGCGGCAGAAACAACUGAAACAAGAACAAUUACAGCAACAGCCACAGGAACAAAAUAAAGAGCAACAAUUUAGAAAACGACAACAAAUAUUUGAUCCACUUUAAAAGAUUUAUUUCUUUCUUUGUUUGAGUCUCAGUCAACCAGUCGUCACUAAAGUCAACAUUGGAAAAAAAAAAGAAAUAAAACGCAGUCUCAGCAAUUUAUAAAAGCGCGUCAACAGCGUUUAAAUAAAUAAAUAAAAUAAUUCAUAAAUAAAAGGAAAAUCAAAUAAUAAAAAAAAAAAACAAACCACAAUAAUCAUUGAUAUAAGAAGAAAAUAACAACAACAGUAAAAUAAUAAAAUAAACGUGUGUAGAAGAGAAUAAGUAUACAAAUAAACUCAACAAUAAGUGUAUUUGUUACUUAUAACUUCUGCCAUCCAAAGAACACUUUAUCAAUUUCAAAAAAAGACAUUGCAAAACCUUUAUCAGUCUCCUUAAGGUUUUACCAACCAGUCCUGCUUCAUCCAAACACACAACAGUAGAAUGGCGCUAACAUCACAAUUAUCUCUAGUGGUCUCAUUCAUAGUUGGCGUCUGCAUUUUUAAAACACCUCUAGAAGUGGAUGGUCAUAUACUCGUCUAUCGACGCCUAACCAAUCAGGUUAUUUUAAUUGAAGAGUAUAAUGAUAUGCCAGCACAGUUUGGUCCUAGCUUACCGACAAAUGGUAUUAAGGUAUUUGCGAUACCAGCCGUACCACAUGAAGAGGCUUGUGAUAAGAUAAGUCCACCACCAAAAUCGUUUUAUCCCAGCAAUGCUAAAUUUGCCGCCAUCAUACAAAGUAAUCAAAGAGGCGGCGUUGAUUGUACAUUCGAAUUAAAGGUACGCAAUGCACAGGCAGCUCGUUUUGAUGCUGUUGUCAUCUAUAACAAUGAAAGUGAUGAUUUAGAACAUAUGUCAGCACAAAAUUCUAGCGGCAUUUUAAUACCUUCAGUUUUUGUGGGACGUACCACGGGUACAAAUUUAAAAACAUUCUAUACUCCUGAAAUUGUUUUAGUCAUUAAUGAUGAGCUGCCUUUUAAUAUAAAUACACAAUUAAUUUUACCAUUUUCCAUCUUAAUUGGUUUAUGUUUUUUGAUUAUGAUUUUUUAUAUGAUUUACAAAUGCAUAAGAGAAGAAAGACGUUUGAGACGUCAUCGUUUGCCCAAAAGAAUGUUAAAAAAGCUGCCGAUUAUAAAGUUUACGAAAAAUAGCGAUCUCGCUUAUGAUACCUGCGUUAUAUGUCUGGAUGAAUUUGCCGAGGGUGAUAAAUUACGUGUGCUGCCCUGUAAACAUCCUUAUCACAGUGAAUGUAUUGAUGUUUGGCUAACCGAAAAUAAACGUGAUUGUCCCAUUUGUAAGCGUAAGGUUUUUACGAAAGGCGAAACCCGAUCACAGCGGAAUCGACAGUCUUCAUUGGAUAGUAUAACAGAUACGGAUGAUGAUACCACACCACUGUUACAACAAUCCACUAAUACUUCUGUGAAUUCAACCGUUUCGCCUAUAAGUUCAAAUAGUGGUUCAACUAGAAGUCAUGGUACAUUUCGUCGUGGUGGUAACAAUAUCGAAGCUGGUGCUGGUGGAGACAUUACAUCAGAUGAUGAGAAUAUGCUUUCACCUGCCCGACGUGUAAAUCCCUUUGAUCGUUCACCCAAUUUACCGCCACAUUUGCAGGCUCAAUUGAAUAGUGAAUCGCGAAACAGUUCCAUAUGGUCUUGGCCGGUUUUAAGAUGGUUUAGACAACCCACAACUCUAAGUGUGGCCGCUCCACCCUAUUUAGAAGACACUCUACAUGAUGUUAUAGCUGAACAACAGGGUGGUCCUAUGGCCACAACAACUGCUAGUAAUGUAAAUAAUACUAUAAACUCUACAUCAACGUUAAGAGCUUCACACUCUUCGAAUAAUGUUUUAAAUCCGAAUUUAAGUGGUUCUUUUAAAGACGGCGGUGGCGACGAUGAUGACGAUGAUGAUCCACCACUACAGUGUAUAUAUGAACCCAUAGCAACAACCACAGCAAAUCGUACAAGUCCAUCAGGGUCUAAUACAUCAAAUGCGUCGUCGUCGUCUAAUCGUCGUCCACCUCGUCCCGAGGUGGCAAUGGAUGCAAAUCCAGAUUCUGUUUUUAUACAAACUCCUACACAGGGUGGCAUUGCAGUAGCUGCUCUGCCACCCAAUAAUAAUAAUAAUCAUAAUAAUGUUAAUACGGCGUCCAUGAAUAGCUAUUGGUAAUAUGACGCUUGAAAGGGAAAUGUCAUAAUUUUAGUUUUAUCGUUUUGGGGGAGUGUUUAAAGAGAUUUAUACAUGAAAUUAAACAUACAUAGAGAUAUACAGAUAUAGGAAUUGUGGGUGUUAUCUCUCAACAGUUUGUCCACCACAACAAAAAAUUUAUCUCCAAUUUAUUUUAAUUUUUUUUACCAUCAUAUACCAAAAAUCUAAACAAAUUUUAAUUGAAAAUCUUUAACAGCCAAUUUAGUUAAAAAAAAAAAUUUGCAAAAAUUGGCUUUUUAAAAUUUUUUUAAAUAAAAUUUGAGCAAAAAAUUCAUUAAGUACCUUUUUUUAUAUAAUGUAUAAAAUAAUUAAUUAAUUAACUAAACUAAUUUUUAAUUGUAAAUUCUAAGUCCUCUAUAUAAUGUAAUAAAUACGAUCAAGUGAAAGUUGGGGGGGGGGGGGGCAAAAAAAAACCCCCUCCUCUUAAAAGCGAAACAAAACAAAUAAAAAAAUCUGAAUUAUAUUUGUUAUAAAUUAAUAUUUUUAUGUUUUAUAAAAAAAACACAACAACCACAUCUAUAUACAACAUACUAUAUUUUAUUUAAAAAAACAAUUUGCAACAACCUAAAAUGUUUAAGAUAAUCCAAACUACCCUUUAAACAAAAGCAAAAAAACAAAAAAUAUUAAUUAAAUAAAAUGUAAAAUUUUUAGUCAUUUUAUUAAAAUUGUAAAAAAAAAUUA